AGCUCCUCUUUGCCUUUUGGCUUAGAUCAAGUGUAGUAUCUGUUCUUUUCAGUUUAAUCUCUGAAAGAUCUCCAAGGAGAUCAACAUUGAUUAUUCUUAUUUUUGAUCACUGGAGACAGCCUCUGCAGCUUGCUGUAUGUAGUCUCCAUCGUGUCCCUGGUAUCACACUGCCUCCAGGCGACGCAAAAUGAUC
rnacentral:snRNA from 1 species